AGUGAACGCUGGCGGUAGGCCUAACACAUGCCAGUCGAACGGCAGCACAGUAAGAGCUUGCUCUUACGGGUGGCGAGUGGCGGACGGGUGAGGAAUACAUCGGAAUCUACUUUUUCGUGGGUGAUAACGUAGGGCAACUUACGCUAAUACCGCAUACGACCUACGGGUGAAAGCAGGGGAUCUUCGGACCUUUCGCGAUUGAAUGAGCCGAUGUCGGAUUAGCUAGUUGGCGGGGUAAAGGCCCACCAAGGCGACGAUGCGUAGCUGGUCUGAGAGGAUGAUCAGCCACACUGGAACUGAGACACGGUCCAGACUCCUACGGGAGGCAGCAGUGGGGAAUAUUGGACAAUGGGCGAAAGCCUGAUCCAGCCAUACCGCGUGGGUGAAGAAGGCCUUCGGGUUGUAAAGCCCUUUUGUUGGGAAAGAAAAGCAGCAGGUUAAUACCCCGCUGUUCUGACGGUACCCAAAGAAUAAGCACCGGCUAACUUCGUG
rnacentral:rRNA from 1 species